rnacentral:rRNA from 1 species
GUGUCAGCCGCCGCGGUAAUACGUAGGGGGCGAGCGUUGUCCGGAAUCAUUGGGCGUAAAGCGCGUGUAGGCGGCUCGGUAAGUCUGCUGUGAAAGUCCAGGGCUCAACCCUGGAAUGCCGGUGGAUACUGUAGAGCUUGAGUCCGGAAGAGGCGAAUGGAAUUCCUGGUGUAGCGGUGAAAUGCGCAGAUAUCAGGAGGAACACCAAUGGCGAAGGCGGCUUACUGGUCCGGUUCUGACGCUGAGGCGCGAAAGCGUGGGGAGCAAACAGGAUUAGAUACCCCGGUAGUCCACGCCGUAAACGAUGGUCACUAGGUGUGUGUGGUAUCGACCCCACACGUGCCGCAGCCAACGCAAUAAGUGACCCGCCUGGGGAGUACGGCCGCAAGGUUGAAACUCAAAGGAAUUGACGG